GACGAACGCUGGCGGCGUGCUUAACACAUGCAAGUCGAACGGAAAGGCCCUGCUUUUGUGGGGUGCUCGAGUGGCGAACGGGUGAGUAACACGUGAGUAACCUGCCCUUGACUUUGGGAUAACUUCAGGAAACUGGGGCUAAUACCGGAUAGGAUCUCCUGCUGCAUGGUGGGGGUUGGAAAGUUUCGGCGGUUGGGGAUGUACUCGCGGCUUAUCAGCUUGUUGGUGGGGUAGUGGAUUACCAAGGCUUUGACGGGUAGCCGGCCUGAGAGGGUGACCGGCCACAUUGGGACUGAGAUGAGGCACAGACUCCUACGGGAGGCAGCAGGGGGGAAUAUUGCACAAUGGGCGGAAGCCUGAUGAAGAAACGCCGCGUGCGGGAUGACGGCCUUCGGGUUGUAAACCGUUUUCGCCUGUGACGAAGCGUGAGUGACGGUAAUGGGUAAAGAAGCACCGGCUAACUACGUG
rnacentral:rRNA from 1 species